AUACGGAGGAUGCGAGCGUUAUCCGGAUUUAUUGGGUUUAAAGGGAGCGUAGGCGGGAGCUUAAGUCAGCGGUUAAAUGGUGCGGCUCAACCGUGCCCUGCCGUUGAAACUGGGUUUCUUGAGAGUGCAAGAGGCGGAUGGAAUCCAUGGUGUAGCGGUGAAAUGCUUAGAUAUCAUGAAGAACUCCGAUUGCGAAGGCAGUCCGCUGGGGCACGUCUGACGCUGAUGCUCGAAGGUGCGGGAAUCAAACAGGAUUAGAUACCCUGGUAGUCCGCACGGUAAACGAUGAUUACCCGCUGUCGGCGGCAGACAGUCGGCGGCCAAGCGAAAGCGAUAAGUAAUCCACCUGGGGAGUACGCCGGCAACGGUGAAACUCAAAUGAAUUGACGGGG
rnacentral:rRNA from 1 species